rnacentral:rRNA from 1 species
GAUGAACGCUAGCGGCAGGCUUAACACAUGCAAGUCGAGGGGUAUAGGUUUUCGGACCUAGAGACCGGCGCACGGGUGCGUAACGCGUAUGCAACCUACCUUUUACAGAGGGAUAGCCCAGAGAAAUUUGGAUUAAUACCUCAUGGUAUAACACCACCGCAUGAUGGUGUUAUUAAAGUCACAACGGUAAAAGAUGGGCAUGCGUCCCAUUAGCUAGAUGGUAAGGUAACGGCUUACCAUGGCUACGAUGGGUAGGGGUCCUGAGAGGGAGAUCCCCCACACUGGUACUGAGACACGGACCAGACUCCUACGGGAGGCAGCAGUGAGGAAUAUUGGUCAAUGGACGCAAGUCUGAACCAGCCAUGCCGCGUGCAGGAUGACGGUCCUAUGGAUUGUAAACUGCUUUUGUACGAGAAGAAACACUCCUUCGUGAAGGAACUUGACGGUAUCGUAAGAAUAAGGAUCGGCUAACUCCGUGCCAGCCGCCGCUGUAAUAC